CGCCAGGAAUCCACUGCCCAGGCAUACACAGUUGAAGACUCUAAUGUUCUCCGCAUUCAGCAGUACCAGCAGCACCUACUGGAACAAAGCAGGCGGCACAAGCAGUGUGUGGAGGAGGCUCGUCGGCGUCUCGAGGAGUACCAGCGCACCCUGACGCUGCGCCACCACACAUUCACUAGGCCAGCCUCCGCCUCCUCAUCGCAGCCCUCUA